UACGUAGGGUGCAAGCGUUGUCCGGAAUUAUUGGGCGUAAAGAGCUCGUAGGCGGUUUGUCGCGUCUGCUGUGAAAACUCAGGGCUUAACCCUGAGCCUGCAGUGGGUACGGGCAGACUAGAGUGUGGUAGGGGAGACUGGAAUUCCUGGUGUAGCGGUGAAAUGCGCAGAUAUCAGGAGGAACACCGGUGGCGAAGGCGGGUCUCUGGGCCGAUACUGACGCUGAGGAGCGAAAGCGUGGGGAGCGAACAGG
rnacentral:rRNA from 1 species